GGAGGGGUUCCCGAGUGGCCAAAGGGAGCAGACUGUAAAUCUGCCGGCUCCGCCUUCGAUGGUUCGAAUCCGUCCCCCUCAA
rnacentral:tRNA from 1 species